rnacentral:lncRNA from 1 species
GUAGGUAUAGGUAGUAAUCUUACUUACUGGUAUCUAAUUUUUACUAAAAUGUCAAAUGUACUAUAGCUAAAAUCCAUGCGGUUUGAAAGCUAUGAAACUAAAUGCUUUACCUAGAAUCUCUGAGGAACUUGUGAUUGAAGAACUCCAUAAAUGAUAGUCGCUCAACUGCAAAUCAAGGUAUUAUUUUUUACAUGGUAGCUUUGUUGAGUAAACUCUUGAUAUUCACAUGUCACUAGUAGUAAAUCACACAUUAUUCAGCUCUGAAAUGUAAUUAAAUCAAAAUACAUAGGCAAGCAUAACACCAGAUACUUAAUAAUAUAUCAAUCAUGACCUGGAUUUUGACGUAACAGGCUUCUGCAGAGAUCUAUGUAAUCUGGAUGCAAUUCUUCCAAAGCACCUUGUGGAAACCUCAGUUCAGUCGAUGUCACGAUAUUUUGGAAAAG